UUCAUCUGAACUAGCCCUUCAGUCCAAAUGAAGGAAGCUCCUCUUCUCUUUUAACUCUAAUCUUGACAGAAUUAGGGCUCUAACUGAUGACACAACAGACCAGAAAAGAGAAAGAAGGGACCUGGGAGUUGGCAGAGCCACCCAAGCAGGGCAGUAAAAGAUCACUAUCUUGAGAGGAAGGGUGUGCUGAAACAUCGGGAGAUCAGGAAAGACCUGGUAGAGGAGGUGAUGACUGAGCUAUGUGUAAGUAAAAUUCUCAGAGCUAGAGUUUGAAGAGGGAAGGAGAGAGAGGAGGGAAGGAAUGCUCAUGGUGUCAUGGUAUGAAGAUGCCUGGGAAGCAGCAUGAAGCAUCUGAGAAUGAGCAAGGGAAGUUUUGGAGCCUGGUAUUUGAAAAAGGCACCAAAUGCAGAGAGGGAGCCAGGAAACCAGAGCCUUGCAACGGGGUGUGAGAGAGGAAGUCCUAGCUGGAAGAAAGCAGGGACCAGAAUUAAAACCUCUGUGGUUUGUUGAAGACAGGAGGUCCUUUCCAGGAGAAAGAAAACCAGCCUUCUCUGGACUACUUCCUUACCCAAAGUAGAAAAGGUUUGUCCCAUCCCAACAAAUGGAUCUGCAUUUCCUAUUUCUUGAUAUUAAAUAGAAAUUCUCUUCUGAUUAUAGCACUUAUCAGAGGUCCAAACAAUAGAGUCCUUACUAACGGAGAUCUCACUCUGAAUAGCAAAGGGGAAUGAGGUAUGCACACUCAUCCACUGGGAGAAGUUGUCAUGCAAGAAGUUUAACCAUUGCUCUCCAUCUUCCAUGGUACUUUCAAAAAAGAAUUGCAUUAUUUCUUUUGUUUUCACGUCCUAUUUCUCCCUUCCAGAGUGUCAAUCACUUUAACAAAUAAAAAAGAGGGAAAAUUCAGUCCAAAAAAAAUCUGGCAUUGUGUAUCCCUUAUCCAUAGCCCCACACCUUUGCAAAGAAGUAGGUGAGGUAGUUUCAUAUAUCUCUCCUUUAGAGUCAAGCUGGUCAUUAUAAUUUUACUUCUAUUAUCUUCUUGUAGUUAUUAUGUAUAUUAUGUUUUCUUGGUUCUGUUUUCUCCACUUUGUAUCAAUUUCUUGUCUUCUCAGAUUUCUCUGUAUUCAUCAUAUUCAUCAUUUCUUAUGCAUUCCUGUAUCUUUUUUAGUUCUUCCCUAACUGAUGGUUAUCUACUUUGUUUCCAGCACAAAAAAUACUGGCAUAUGUUGGAAUAUAUGGGCCAUUUCUUUUUUCCCAUUGACUUUCUUUCUCUCUUGUAUGCGCCUGUGCUUUGGGACUCUCAAUGGGGAUUUAUAUCCACAUGAACAACUGGGAGCUUAGCAGCACAAAGAAGAGGUGAGGACAUUUUUCACAAAAAGGAAAGGACUAAGGUUGACAGGUGGGG